AGAAUACGUUCGACUAAACAAUUCCAUAGUUACCUCGUCGACAUGAACAUAACACAAGGUAGAAGUUCAAGAACGGAAGAAAACUAUCGGCA